rnacentral:rRNA from 1 species
AACGAACGCUGGCGGCAUGCCUAACACAUGCAAGUCGAACGAGACCUUCGGGUCUAGUGGCGCACGGGUGCGUAACGCGUGGGAAUCUGCCCUUGGGUUCGGAAUAACAGUUGGAAACGACUGCUAAUACCGGAUGAUGACGUAAGUCCAAAGAUUUAUCGCCCAAGGAUGAGCCCGCGUAGGAUUAGCUAGUUGGUGAGGUAAAGGCUCACCAAGGCGACGAUCCUUAGCUGGUCUGAGAGGAUGAUCAGCCACACUGGGACUGAGACACGGCCCAGACUCCUACGGGAGGCAGCAGUGGGGAAUAUUGGACAAUGGGCGAAAGCCUGAUCCAGCAAUGCCGCGUGAGUGAUGAAAGCCUUAGGGUUGUAAAGCUCUUUUACCCGGGAUGAUAAUGACAGUACCGGGAGAAUAAGCUCCGGCUAACUCCGUG